rnacentral:rRNA from 1 species
UGGGGAAUUUUGGACAAUGGGGGAAACCCUGAUCCAGCCAUCCCGCGUGUGCGAUGAAGGCCUUCGGGUUGUAAAGCACUUUUGGCAGGAAAGAAACGUCAUGGGUUAAUACCCCGUGAAACUGACGGUACCUGCAGAAUAAGCACCGGCUAACUACGUGCCAGCAGCCGCGGUAAUACGUAGGGUGCAAGCGUUAAUCGGAAUUACUGGGCGUAAGCGUGCGCAGGCGGUUCGGAAAGAAAGAUGUGAAAUCCCAGAGCUCAACUUUGGAACUGCAUUUUUAACUACCGGGCUAGAGUGUGUCAGAGGGAGGUGGAAUUCCGCGUGUAGCAGUGAAAUGCGUAGAUAUGCGGAGGAACACCGAUGGCGAAGGCAGCCUCCUGGGAUAACACUGACGCUCAUGCACGAAAGCGUGGGGAGCAAACAGG